rnacentral:rRNA from 1 species
GAUUAACGCUGGCGGCGUGCCUAACACAUGCAAGUCGAACGAGGUAGCAAUACCUAGUGGCAGACGGGUGAGUAACGCGUGGUCAACCUACCGUUGAGUGGGGGAUAACUAGCCGAAAGGUUAGCUAAUACCGCAUACGUCUCCGAGUGGCAUCACUUGGCGAUAAAAGGAGCAAUCCGCUCGAUGACGGGACCGCGUCCCAUUAGCUAGACGGUGGGGUAACGGCCUACCAUGGCACCGAUGGGUAGCUGGUUCGAGAGAGCGACCAGCCACACUGGGACUGAGAAAACGGCCCAGACUCCUACGGGAGGCAGCAGUGAGGAAUUUUCCGCAAUGGGCGCAAGCCUGACGGAGCGACGCCGCGUGUGGGAAGAAGGCCUUCGGUCGU